UACGUAGGGUGCAAGCGUUGUCCGGAUUUAUUGGGCGUAAAGAGCUCGUAGGCGGUUUGUCGCGUCGGAUGUGAAAACCCAGGGCUCAACCCUGGGCCUGCAUUCGAUACGGGCAAACUAGAGUAUGGCAGGGGAGACUGGAAUACUUGGUGUAGCAGUGAAAUGCGUAGAUAUCAAGUGGAACACCAGUGGCGAAGGCGAGUCUCUGGACAUUUCCUGACGCUGAGGCACGAAAGCCAGGGGAGCAAACGGA
rnacentral:rRNA from 1 species